rnacentral:rRNA from 1 species
GAUGAACGCUAGCUACAGGCUUAACACAUGCAAGUCGAGGGGAAACGACAUCGAAAGCUUGCUUUUGAUGGGCGUCGACCGGCGCACGGGUGAGUAACGCGUAUCCAACCUGCCCAUCACUUGGGAAUAACCUUGCGAAAGUAAGACUAAUACCCAAUGACAUCCCACGAAGACAUCUGAAUGGGAUUAAAGAUUUAUCGGUGAUGGAUGGGGAUGCGUCUGAUUAGCUUGUUGGCGGGGUAACGGCCCACCAAGGCAACGAUCAGUAGGGGUUCUGAGAGGAAGGUCCCCCACAUUGGAACUGAGACACGGUCCAAACUCCUACGGGAGGCAGCAGUGAGGAAUAGUGGUCAAUGGGCGAGAGCCUGAACCAGCCAAGUAGCGUGCAGGAUGACGGCCCUAUGGGUGGUAAACUGCUUUUAUAAGGGAAUAAAGUGGGUCUCGUGAGACUUUUUGCAUGUACCUUAUGAAUAAGGACCGGCUAAUUCCGUG